UCARGGCSUGUNUCAARGAUAAGCCAUGCAUGUCUAAGUGCNAACCGCUUGUACGGUGAAACCGCGAAAGGCUCAUUAAAUCAGUUAUGGUUCCUUAGAUCGUACCCUGUUACUUGGAUAACUGNGGUAAUUCUAGAGCUAAUACAUGCCGAUAGAGUUCCGACCUCGUGCCGCGNGUAGUGCUAUCGCUUUUGGGCGUUAGUGCAGCCGGCGUCGUGGAAAGAACGCUUUUAUUAGAUCAAAACCGGCCGGACGCGCGUCUUCGGUGCGUGUAGCGCGUUCGCUUAGGCGUCCGCUCACGAUCAACGCCGAUUACGCACGCGUAAGUGGUCCGCGCAAAGACUUGGUGAUUCUGAAUAACUUUUGGCUGAUCGCACGGUCUUCGUACCGGCGACGCAUCUUUCAAAUGUCUGCCUUAUCAACUGUCGACGGUAGGUUCGACGCCUACCGUGGUAGUAACGGGUAACGGGGAAUCAGGGUUCGAUUCCGGAGAGGGAGCCUGAGAAACGGCUACCACAUCCAAGGAAGGCAGCAGGCGCGCAAAUUACCCACUCCCAGCGCGGGGAGGUAGUGACGAAAAAUAACGAUACGGGACUCAUCCGAGGCCCCGUAAUCGGAAUGAGUACACUUUAAAACCUUGGUAACGAGGAUCAAUKRGAGGGCAAG
rnacentral:rRNA from 1 species